rnacentral:rRNA from 1 species
AGAACGAACGCUGGCGGCAUGCCUAACACAUGCAAGUCGAACGAGACCUUCGGGUCUAGUGGCGCACGGGUGCGUAACGCGUGGGAAUCUGCCCUUGGGUCCGGAAUAACAGUGAGAAAUUACUGCUAAUACCGGAUGAUGACGUAAGUCCAAAGAUUUAUCGCCCAGGGAUGAGCCCGCGUAAGAUUAGGUAGUUGGUGGGGUAAAGGCCUACCAAGCCGACGAUCUUUAGCUGGUCUGAGAGGAUGAUCAGCCACACUGGGACUGAGACACGGCCCAGACUCCUACGGGAGGCAGCAGUGGGGAAUAUUGGACAAUGGGCGAAAGCCUGAUCCAGCAAUGCCGCGUGAGUGAUGAAGGCCCUAGGGUUGUAAAGCUCUUUUACCCGGGAUGAUAAUGACAGUACCGGGAGAAUAAGCCCCGGCUAACUCCGCGCCAGCAGCCGC